CCGAUCGACGACGAAGAGCUGAUCUCUUACAUCCUGCCCGGCCUCGAUUUCGACUACAACCCCGUCGUCUCCUCUGUGGCGGCGCGCGUCGAACCUAUCUCGGUGAGUGAGUUGUAUUCACAAAUGAUGAGUUUUGAAU
rnacentral:snoRNA from 1 species